UAUGUAACACGAGGACUUUCCUGGAGGUCACCCGUCCUAGUACUACUCUCGCCCAAACACGCUUAACUGUGGUGUUCUGAUAGGAUCAAGUGCAUUAGUGCUGGUAUGAUCGCAUCAGUUACUACAUGCAAUGCAAUCAUAUAUAUUCUUUUUUGAAAACUUUAUGAUCCAUUUGCCGUAGGUCCCACCAGCUAUGUCGGAAUACCCUAUCUUGUUUAUAAGAGCUUUGAUACAUGCAAAAUAUUCGAAAACAAUGUCCGAACAUAUAAUUUUUGUCCCGUAAUAUAGCAAAGAUCACGAAAAGGCCAAAAAAAAUACAUUUCGGUCAAAAUUUGGAGUAGAAAAAAACCCCUUCCUCAUUCAUUCGACAACUCUCUUUGGGCUUUCCGAAAAGGUAUCACAUGCCAAGUUUGGUCUCACGGUCUAAAAGUUAUAGAGUCAUACAUUUUUCACAAAAAAAAGAAGAGAAAAAACCAAAAAANAGAGUGAUGAAACACGAGGACUUUCCUGGAGGUCACUCAUGCUAGUACUACUCUCGCCCAAGCACGCUUAACUGCGAAGUUCUGAUGGGAUC
rnacentral:sRNA from 1 species